AUGUGCAAAAGGUCAUCUCCUAAAAGCUGCCUGCCAAUGUCCAGUCAACAUAUGCUGCGAAUGUGUGCUCCAGAUGGGGUGGUUCUGGAAGAACUUUCAGUGCAAUGGCAACUCAGAAUGAGGUUACUGGAACUGAUUUGGGAACAGACAAGUCAUGUGGGGUUAUGGAGGGAAAGGUGGGGCAGACAGAUUACACCGAUGAAAUGUGGACCAAAGACCGGGAGGAGAUAA
rnacentral:rRNA from 1 species